rnacentral:rRNA from 1 species
CCUACGGGUAGCUGCAGUGAGGACUAUUGGUCAAUGGACGCAAGUCUGAACCAGCCAUGCCGCGUGCAGGCAGACGGCUCUAUGAGUUGUAAACUGCUUUUGUACGAGGGUAAACGCAGAUACGCGUAUCUGUCUGAAAGUAUCGUACGAAUAAGGAUCGGCUAACUCCGUGCCAGCAGACGCGGUGAUACGGAGGAUUCAAGCGUUAUCCGGCUUGAUUGGGUUUAAAGGGUGCGUAGGCGGUCGGAUAAGUUAGAGGUGAAAACCCGAGGCUCAACUUCGGAAUUGACUCUGAUACUGUUCGGCUAGAGAGUAGUGGCGGUAGGCGGAAUGUAUGGUGUAGCGGUGAAAUGCUUAGAGAUCAUACAGAACACCGAGUGCGAAGGCAGCUUACCAAGCUACUUCUGACGUUGAGGCACGAAAGCGUGGGGAGCAAACAGGAUUAGAUACCCGUGUAGUC